rnacentral:rRNA from 1 species
AACGAACGCUGGCGGCAUGCCUAACACAUGCAAGUCGAACGAGACCUUCGGGUCUAGUGGCGCACGGGUGCGUAACGCGUGGGAACCUGCCCUUAGGUUCGGAAUAACUCCCCGAAAGGGGUGCUAAUACCGGAUAAUGUCUUCGGACCAAAGAUUUAUCGCCUUUGGAUGGGCCCGCGUUGGAUUAGCUAGUUGGUAGGGUAAAAGCCUACCAAGGCGACGAUCCAUAGCUGGUCUGAGAGGAUGAUCAACCACACUGGGACUGAGACACGGCCCAGACUCCUACGGGAGGCAGCAGUGGGGAAUAUUGGUCAAUGGGCGAAAGCCUGAUCCAGCAAUGCCGCGUGAGUGAUGAAGGCCUUAGGGUUGUAAAGCUCUUUUACCCGGGAUGAUAAUGACAGUACCGGGAGAAUAAGCGCCGGCUAACUCCGUG